AUAACACUUACGAGUCAAAGCAGCAAUGCGCUUGGAGAGGAGUUCGCGGCAUUAGUUAGUUGGCGGGGUAAUGGCCCACCAAGACGAUGAUCUGUAUCCGGGCCUGAGGGCGCACGGACACACUGGAACUGAAACACGGUCCAGACUCCUACGGGAGGCAGCAGUGGAAUUUUGCGCAAUGGGGGAAACCCUGACGCAGCAACGCCGCGUGGAGGAAGAAAUAUUGGUAUGUAAACUCCUUUCGAUCGGGACGAUAAUGACGGUACCGAGAGAAGAAGCCCCCUAACUUCGUGCCAGCAGCCGCGGUAAUACGAGGGGGGCAAGCGUUGUUCGGAAUUAUGGCGUAAAGGGCGCGUAGGCGGUUUGACAAGUUUGGUGUGAAAUCUAUGGGCUCAACCUAGCCUGCAUCGAAAACUGUCGGGCUUGAGUAUGGGAGAGGUGAGUGGAAUUUCCGGUAGCGGUGAAAUGCGUAGAUAUCGGAAGGAACACCUGAGGCGAAAGCGGCUCACUGGACUUACUGACGCUGAGGCGCGAAAGCUAGGGGAGCAAACAGGAUUAGAUACCCUGGUAGUUAGCCCUAAACGAUGAUUGCUUGAUGUAGCGGGUACCCAAUCCUGCUGUGUCGAAGCU
rnacentral:rRNA from 1 species